rnacentral:rRNA from 1 species
GACGAACGCUGGCGGCGUGCUUAACACAUGCAAGUCGUACGAUGAUGCCCAGCUUGCUGGGUGGAUUAGUGGCGAACGGGUGAGUAACACGUUAGUAACCUGCCCCUGAUUCUGGGAUAAGCGUUGGAAACGACGUCUAAUACUGGAUAUGACUACUGGUCGCAUGGCCGGGUGGUGGAAAGAGUUUUUGGUUGGGGAUGGACUCGCGGCCUAUCAGCUUGUUGGGGGGGUAAUGGCUCACCAGGUCGACGACGGGUAGCCGGCCUGAGAGGGUGACCGGGCACUCUGGGAGUGAGGAAUGGCCCACACUCCUACGGGAGGCAGCAGUGGGGAAUUUUGCACGAUGGGCGAAAGGCUGAUGCAGCAUCGCCGCGUGAGGGAUGACGGACUUCGGAUUGUAAGCCUCUUUUUGUAGGGAAGAAGUGAAAGUGACGGUACCUGCAGAAAAAGCACCGGAUAACUACGUGCCAGCAGACGCGGUAA